rnacentral:rRNA from 1 species
CCUACGGGGUGCAGCAGUGGGGAAUAUUGGACAAUGGGCGAAAGCCUGAUCCAGCCAUGCCGCGUGUGUGAAGAAGGCCUUCGGGUUGUAAAGCACUUUCAGUGGGGAAGAAAGCCUUGGGGCUAAUACCCUCGAGGAAGGACAUCACCCACAGAAGAAGCACCGGCUAACUCCGUGCCAGCAGCCGCGGUAAUACGGAGGGUGCGAGCGUUAAUCGGAAUUACUGGGCGUAAAGCGCGCGUAGGCGGUCUGAUAAGCCGGUUGUGAAAGCCCCGGGCUCAACCUGGGAACGGCAUCCGGAACUGUCAGGCUAGAGUGCAGGAGAGGAAGGUAGAAUUCCCGGUGUAGCGGUGAAAUGCGUAGAUAUCGGGAGGAAUACCAGUGGCGAAGGCGGCCUUCUGGACUGACACUGACGCUGAGGUGCGAAAGCGUGGGUAGCAAACAGGAUUAGAUACCCGAGUAGUC